UACGGAGGGUCCAAGCGUUAUCCGGAUUUAUUGGGUUUAAAGGGUGCGCAGGUUGUUUGAUAAGUCAGUGGUGAAAGUCUGUCGCUUAACGGUAGGAUUGCCAUUGAUACUGUUGGGCUUGAAUAUGGAUGAGGUAGGCGGAAUGUGUAGUGUAGCGGUGAAAUGCAUAGAUAUUACACAGAACACCGAUUGCGAAGGCAGCUUACUAAUCCAUCAUUGACGCUGAGGCACGAAAGUGUGGGGAUCAAACAGGAUUAGA
rnacentral:rRNA from 1 species